rnacentral:rRNA from 1 species
GACGAACGCUGGCGGCGUGCUUAACACAUGCAAGUCGAACGGAAAGGCCCUGCUUUUGUGGGGUGCUCGAGUGGCGAACGGGUGAGUAACACGUGAGUAACCUGCCCUUGACUUUGGGAUAACUUCAGGAAACUGGGGCUAAUACCGGAUAGGAGCUCCUGCUGCAUGGUGGGGGUUGGAAAGUUUCGGCGGUUGGGGAUGGACUCGCGGCUUAUCAGCUUGUUGGUGGGGUAGUGGCUUACCAAGGCUUUGACGGGUAGCCGGCCUGAGAGGGUGACCGGCCACAUUGGGACGGAGAUACGGCCCAGACUCCUACGGGAGGCAGCAGUGGGGAAUAUUGCACAAUGGGCGGAAGCCUGAUGCAGCAACGCCGCGUGCGGGAUGACGGCCUUCGGGUUGUAAACCGCUUUCGCCUGUGACGAAGCGUGAGGGACGGUAAUGGGUAAAGAAGCACCGGCGAACUACGU